rnacentral:tRNA from 1 species
GGGGAUAUAGCUCAGUGGUAGAGCAACCGGCUGCAGUCCGGUAGGUCCUUGGUUCAAGUCCGAGUGUCCCCU